UCUGUAAAAAGUUUUCAUGUGAUGGAUGGGAUGUUUUUCAUGUCUGUGUCUUGGUUCUUGAGAUAGAGACUAAGCAUGAUUGAUCCGCUGGUGUGUAUGUAGUAUUAACGGUUUCUUUCUAGUCAGUGCACAGAUUGACCGACACGAAUUGAUUAAUUUCGUUCUGAGACUGCUGCUGUUGGACUAUGUAUGUAUUCAUUUUGGGGAAGUAGACAGCAAACAAAGACAUGGCCCUGAUGAUAAUAAACAAUAAAAAGAAAGAGUUUGCUCUGGCAGCAGUAUGCAUUUGUUUCUUUUU
rnacentral:lncRNA from 1 species